rnacentral:rRNA from 1 species
GAUGAACGCUAGCGGCAGGCCUAAUACAUGCAAGUCAAGGGGCCCAGCAAUGGGCACCGGCGGACGGGUGCGUAACGCGUACACAACAUACCUUUAAGUGGGGGAUAGCAUUGGGAAACUGGUGGUAAUACCCCAUAAUAAUACAGGGAGGCAUUUCCUUGUAUUUAAAGCUCCGGCGCUUAGAGAUUGGUGUGCGUCCGAUUAGCUAGUUGGUGGGGUAACGGCUCACCAAGGCGACGAUCGGUAGGGGUGUGAGAGCAUGACCCCCCACACGGGUACUGAGACACGGACCCGACUCCUACGGGAGGCUG